rnacentral:rRNA from 1 species
UACUGCAGAUGAGUACCUUGGAGGCCGGAGUUGUGGCAGAGGGUUCCAUGUGAACAGCCGUUGCACAUGGGUCAGUCGAUCCUAAGGCCUAGGGUAGUUCCGCUCUGAGCGGCGGUGCGAGCCUGCCUUGUGUGGGUUAGCGCCCCCUGGCCGAAAGGGAAUCGGGUCAAUAUUCCCGAACCUGAAGGUGGAGCCCGCCAACUUUUAGUUGGUCAGAGCUGCAAAGCUAUGGAGCCCGGAGACGCUGGCCGGAGCCCUGGGAAGAGUUGUCUUUUCUUUGUAAGGGGCGGGUUUCCCUGAAACCGACUGGAUCGGAGUUAGGGACCGCGGCCCCGUAGAGCGCCGCGUCUGGAGCGGCGUCCAGUGUUGCACUGGCCGGCCCUUGAAAUUCCGGGGGACGAGCGUGGACUCUCACCUCAGGUCGUACCCAUAACCGCAGCAGGUCUCCAAGGUGAACAGCCUCUGGUUAAUAGAACAAUGUAGGUAAGGGAAGUCGGCAAGCCGGAUCCGUAACUUCGGGAAAAGGAUUGGCUCUGAGGACUGGGUAGGUCGGGCCGGAGCUGGAAGCAGGCACGGACCCUAAGCGUGACUGGGCGAGUCGGUCCGAGUUAGGUCCUUCACGGGACUCUACGAGACUAGCGAGCCCGGACGUUGCACUGGGUCUGGCUCGUGGACCGUUCUGGCUGCGCGGCAGCCUCGUGUUGUCGCCUCGGCCUGCGCCAAACAGCCGGCUCAGAACUGGUACGGACCAGGGGAAUCCGACUGUCUAAUUAAAACAGAGCAUUGCGAUGUACCGCAACCCGGGCGUUGACGCAAUGUGAUUUCUGCCCAGUGCUCUGAAUGUCAAAGUGAAGAAAAUUCAAUGAAGCGCGGGUAAACGGCGGGAAGAA